AAAAUAUCAGGACCGUCCCGAUGCGAAGACCAGCCGCAGUCAGUCCCUUACCUCAAGAUGGCGGCGGUGGCAGAACCUCUUACUCUCCAACAAGAUGUCAAGAGAGCAGUUGAAUUACUCGAUAAGCUGCAGAAAACAGGAGAAAUACCCUCAGCCAAGCUAGCGGCACUCCAGCGAGUGCUCCAGUCUGAGUUCCUGACGGCAGUGCGGGAAGUGUAUGAGCACGUGUAUGAGACAGUUGACAUCUCCGGCUCCCCUGAGAUCCGUGCCUCUGCUACUGCCAAGGCAACUGUAGCUGCCUUUGCUGCCAGUGAGGGCCAUGCACACCCCAGAGUCGUGGAGCUGCCCAAGACUGACGAAGGGCUUGGCUUUAAUGUCAUGGGAGGACGGGAGCAGAAUUCCCCCAUCUACAUCUCCCGGAUCAUCCCUGGAGGCGUGGCAGACCGUCAUGGAGGACUCAAGAGAGGAGACCAGCUACUGUCAGUCAAUGGAGUGAGCGUGGAGGGUGAGAACCAUGAGCGAGCUGUGGAGCUGCUGAAGGCUGCCAGUGGCUCAGUGAAGUUGGUGGUACGCUACACCCCCCGAGUGCUGGAGGAAAUGGAGAUGCGGUUCGACAAGCAGCGGGCGUCACGUAGGCGAACUUCCCAGUUACAGUAGAGAGCCCUAGUGGAGGAGUGGCGUGGCUGGGGCUGCUCCGUGCCAGUGAUGGGGGACAGCCGGCCAGAUGUCUUGGGGGGACAGAUGGCUCAGUGGUAGAGUGCUCAGCUAGUGGCCACAAUGAGUGUGGCAGGCAGUGGAACUGAACACCUGUGGCAGCUGACAGCAGACACCAAGAGUCACCACCACACUCACACCACUGAGGCUGCUUGUGUGGCCAACCAUUGGUAUUGAUGCUUACUGAAAAUUUGUUAUAGCCAGUUUGUUGACAAUUUAAGGCUUUUUGCACCAAGACCCAACAGGGCAUUUGUGGCUUAACACCGUCAGCCUCCCUGGAUCACCAUCACCUUUGUGCCCUUCCUUGUAUGUUAGAAAGUUACUUAUUCCAUAAUGUUCUUAUGUAGUCAUUCUGCCUUUGAAGGACAGAGUUUUUGGAGGUUUUAAAGAUGAAGGUUGUAUAACGUUGAGGCAAAGUUCCAUUAAAGCUACACAGUAUUUAUCUGCCUUAUGAUGUUGGAGCACUUUUGUAACAUUAUGGAAAAGGAAGUUCAUAGUUGUAUCACAGAAAUUUCUUUGCAAAAUUGGUAUUCCUCAAAAUCAGAUAUCUUUUAAUGCACCAAUAUUUCAUAAGUGUUUGUGUCUUUGUCAUUUAGAAAGCGUCAUGUGUUUUGUGUGAAGUCAUGGUGUUCCUGCAGGUAGUAAGCACAUUUAUCACAUUUUAAUAUAUAUUAUCUGUUCCCUCUCCUAAGCUUGCUGCUUCCCUUGCUCCUUAAUUUAAGAGGUCAUCCUGGCAUCAAGAAUUAUUCAAAUUGGAAUAUUUUUAUGUAGUCUUUGUUCAAGAUCAUAAUGCUGUUGAUGGAGGGGUUCUUCUGUAGAAACAUUCCAGUCGUAAUUCUCUAUUUCCCUGGCCACACAAUAUGGGUUGUUUUCCAUACAGCAAGUGCUGCUAAGCUGAAAUCUCAUUCAUAAUAGCAUGUCCAUUUCAGUUAAAAUAUAUAUAUAUAUAUAUAUAUAUAUAUAUAUAUAUAUAUAUAUAUAUAUAUAUAUAUAUAUAUAUAUAUAUAUAUAUAUAUAUAUAUAUAUAUAUAUAUAUAUAUAUAUAAUUUGUAUAUUUUCAUACAUUAUUUCAUAAAUCACCUAUCUCUGUAAAAAAAAAUAUUAUAUUUCAUUGCAUAUACUUACAUGGCAGUCUGUGUUCAAUAUUUUUAAGUGGUAGUAUUUUAUGUUUUAGAUUUAAUUUGAUGUCUAUCAUUGAAAGCUGUCAGAUGUCACUGUGGAUUCAGCAUGAUACAUCACCAGCAGGAUGUGUGUUGAGAAUGGUGUGGAGGAUGUUGCUUUGAGUGCAAAACCAUAAAUUACUAUUUGCUGUGACAAGCAGCUUUGAUUACAUGCAACACACCCCACCAUAGCUGAAGGUUUGGGUGCUUGCUUUCUAAACCACUGCACAUCACUUGAAAUAGUAGAGAUCUGUGAAGCUCAGCUUGCAGGAUUCUGUGAUGAAACUGAAAAUAUUGUUACUGCUGAUGCUUUGCUGUGCCAAACCUAUUCAGUGUUCACUCAUUCAUUCCAAGGAGCCAGAGAUAUUGCAUUCAUUGAUUUAUGGCUAAUUAAAGUUAUCCAACUCAAAGCUUUGACCAUUGUACAGAUUUGGACGUGUCAUGCAGACAGUAUUUGUUUGUUUUCUUGGUUGUUAAUGGUGAUUGGUGGAGUAAAGGUCACUAUUUCCUAAAUUCCCUCAGUUGAGAGCUACCUAGCAUACAUGAAGUCGUUUACUAUUGUUUUGAUUAUGUACGUUUUAUUACAUUAUAUUAUUGUAAAGGAAAUAAUGACCUGCUUAUCACUUUACUUUGCUGGGAAUGUGUUAAUGCCGGACUGACAAGGGUGCCACUAGUCAUGAUUGUGCUCAUAGCCUUGGAUGAUUUGAAAGUGUGAUUAUAUAUUGUUAUAUUAGCAUAUUUUCCACUAUUUAUAUAUCUAUUUAGUAUGAGGGAAGGUGAGGAAGGUAAAGUGCUUUUCAUUAUUAUAGUAUGCAUAGCAUACACACUGUACCAUUUUAAUCCCUAUACUACAAACUAUGACGGCAUUUAUGAUGUACAGUAAUGCGAGUUUUGCAUACAGGCCAUGUUAAUGAAUUCAGGUACAGCCAGUGGGAGUCAUUUCAGAGAGUACUGUAGAGAACUUGUGUGAUUACCAAGUAUGGGAGGUAAUUUGUAUUUAGACAAUUACAGUUCGGUUUAUUUUAGAAGCAUAGGUAGUCUUUUUAUCAUCAUGCAGUAACCUGUUCCUUUGGUCUUGAUAUCCACAGUAGUACAGGAGUAGCAUCUUGGUUAAAUCUUUGUGUCACUCUUAGAUGACCUGAGUGAGUUGGGUGGGUGGUGGAGGCCUUGUGAGGGGUAGCUGGUAGUAAGGAUCAGUGCUGGAGGCUUUAUCCCUUACCUCUUGUGACUUAAUCAUCUUUAUUAUGUAUGGUCAUUGUUUAUGAACACAGUAGCUACAGGUUAGGUAACAUAUUUACACAUGUAUACAUAUAGUGUAUAGUGUUUAUAUUACUGUAGAUCAUGUGAUUAUGUAAUGUACCCUGUUGAUAUAUAGUUGGCCACACUCCUGCGAGGUCCACUUAGCUAGCAUUCAAUGCUGGCUGAGAUGCCAACUCAAAAACACUAGUAGUGAGCUUCACUCUACACAUUGGUGGUAGGUAGAGAUAAAGAGGGUGAGUUGAGCGAGGCAGCAUGGGUUUCCCUACCACUAAUGAAUGGAUCGAGUGAAGCUCACUAGUGUUUCAGAGUUCCUAUCAUGGCCAGCAUUGGCAUUGCGAAGUGGACCUACGUUUAUUUAUUUUCUCCCUUUGUAAAUGUUUCCUUUUAUAAAAUGUUUUAUUACCCUUAAAUGAACUGAAUCAAUGACAAUGACAAGAUCUGGGUAUCUCAGUACAACUUACCUGAUUCUGAUUUGUGCCAUAUAGGGAAUGGUCUCGUUAUGAAGGGGCAGAGGUAAACCAGUGUGGUGGUGCAUAGCCAGGUGUGCUGUACCUGAAAUGCUGAGGUGUAGCAAUUUUUUUUUUUUUACAAGAAUCUCCUUUGAGAUUGGUAGUGUGUUUGGCAUGUGCCACCAUAUGAAAGUGCCAGACUGGUUGGUAUAUAUAUAAUUUGUCUUGCCAUUAACUAUUUGCCAGUUUAAAACUAAAGUUGAUCAGGGCAUUAGAUGAGACAGUGAAGAGAGCACGUACGUGGAAAACCAGUAGAAUAAAUUACAGUACAAACUUCGGUACCUCGAAAAGGCUCCGGAGAAAAACCAGAAUUCGAGUUCAAGAAAAUAUUUAUUAAAAAAAAGAAAAAAAAAAAAUUAAAAAGUCGGAGUCUCUCGAACUCUUACGAACAAACAGCUUAUUAACCAGCAACAGCCAGCCCACAAGUCUUAUUAUAUUGGUUCAGAAAGCAGCGUCAUCCACGCGUGGGAAUGGAGAGCUGCCGACUGUUGGUCUGGUGAUGGGUGUCCAGUUCUUCCUGUUAUCUGCAGCAACAAGGGUAACGAGACGGCGACGGCAGCAGCAGUGUUGAACGGAUAAGCGAGAAACGUCGUGGUACGCCGAUUGUAGACACGACGCUACGCCAAAUGUAGACACUCUCAGGAACAGUCUGCCGAGUCAUCUAAUAUUAGCGAAAGUAUAAAUCAACGAAGGGAAAUGCAGCAUCAGCCAAGAGGAAGUGGGAGCUUAUUUCAAUAUUAACAGGAGAAAUUAAAGCAACUAAAGAACAUCAAGGCGUUUGAAAGUUUACUAUGGUAUUAUACCACUAAUACUUAACAUUCCCCGUGCUUCGUUUAGGUUAGCGAAUCGAUACGUCAACGAAACGAGUUAAGGGGACUGGUCUGAAACUUACACGAACCCUGUAACAGAAACGUCUCCGCACUGCGAUGUGUGGUACAUGUAAUGUACAGAGCCUUAAUAAAGAUUACCUACUA